ACUCUGGGAUGAGAGGGGCUUACACCAGAAAGGGAAGAGUAACUGUUAACAAGAAUACCUAGAGAUGAAAAUACUGACCAGAAUGGUCCUCCCAGAGAUAACAACUAUAAACAACAGGAAAACGAACAAACAAAGACUUCCUGGAAGCAAUGGAGGCUGAACAAAGUUAAACAGAUUAUGGAGAGGAUUGGUUUGGAAGAGGGAAAUGGUUAAGGGAGACAAUUAUGGGAUGUGCAUUGCCAAAACAAGGUGACAAACAAAGAAAUGUGGAAAACAUAGGAUCCAGGGAACAAGGAUCCAAUGGAACACAGUGGAAAAGGAAGGAAAUUCCCAGGAUGACUGUGAAGAGAAGUCCUAACAGUACAACAGAUAUACAGUGCAAUCAGAAGGAUGGAGAUACCCA